rnacentral:tRNA from 1 species
GUCCUUGUAGCUUAAACCAAAGCAUAGCACUGAAGAUGCUAAGAUGGGCACUACCCCAAAGAC